AUUUGGUCGUAGACCCGAAACCAGGUGAUCUACCCUUGGUCAGGUUGAAGUUCAGGUAACACUGAAUGGAGGACCGAACCGACUUACGUUGAAAAGUGAGCGGAUGAACUGAGGGUAGCGGAGAAAUUCCAAUCGAACCUGGAGAUAGCUGGUUCUCUCCGAAAUAGCUUUAGGGCUAGCCUCAAGUGAUGAUUAUUGGAGGUAGAGCACUGUUUGGACGAGGGGCCCCUCUCGGGUUACCGAAUUCAGACAAACUCCGAAUGCCAAUUAAUUUAACUUGGGAGUCAGAACAUGGGUGAUAAGGUCCGUGUUCGAAAGGGAAACAGCCCAGACCACCAGCUAAGGUCCCAAAAUAUAUGUUAAGUGGAAAAGGAUGUGGCGUUGCCCAGACAACUAGGAUGUUGGCUUAGAAGCAGCCAUCAUUUAAAGAGUGCGUAAUAGCUCACUAGUCGAGUGACACUGCGCCGAAAAUGUACCGGGGCUAAACAUAUUACCGAAGCUGUGGAUUGUCCUUUGGACAAUGGUAGGAGAGCGUUCUAAGGGCGUUGAAGCAUGAUCGUAAGGACAUGUGGAGCGCUUAGAAGUGAGAAUGCCGGUGUGAGUAGCGAAAGACGGGUGAGAAUCCCGUCCACCGAUU
rnacentral:rRNA from 1 species